CCCUUAGAUGUUCUGGGCCGCACGCGCGCUACACUGACGAAGUCAGCGAGCAUGUCCUACGCCGACAGGUGCGGGGAAUCUUGUCAAACUUCGUCGUGAUGGGGAUUGAUUAUUGAAAUUCUUGAUCAUCAACGAGGAAUUCCUAGUAAGCGCAAGUCAGCAGCUUGCGUUGAUUACGUCCCUGCCCUUUGUACACACCGCCCGUCGCUACUACCGAUUGAAUGGUUUAGUGAGAUCUUCGGAUUGGCGCCACUGCGGCUCAGCAAUGGGCUCGGUGGAUGCCGAAAAGUUGAUCAAACUUGAUCAUUUAGAGGAAGGAGAAGUCGUAACA
rnacentral:rRNA from 1 species